CCUACGGGUGGCAGCAGUGAGGAAUAUUGGUCAAUGGGCGCAAGCCUGAACCAGCCAAGCAGCGUGAAGGAAGACGGCUCUAUGGGUUGUAAACUUCUUUUGUAAAGGAGUAAAGUCAGAUACGUGUGCCUUUUUGAAAGUACUUUAUGAAUAAGGAUCGGCUAACUCCGUGCCAGCAGCCGCGGUAAUACGGAGGAUUCAAGCGUUAUCCGGAUUUAUUGGGUUUAAAGGGAGCGUAGGUGGUUGGAUAAGUUAGGUGUGAAAUCUGGGGGCUCAACCGUAGAAUUGCCUGUGAUACUGGCGGGCUAGAGUUUAGUUGAGGUAGGCGGAAUGUAUGGUGUAGCGGUGAAAUGCAUAGAGAUCAGAAAGAACACCGAUGGCGAAGGCAGCUUACCAAACUACGACUGACGUUGAGGCACGAAAGCGUGGGGAGCAAACAGGAUUAGAUACCCGAGUAGUC
rnacentral:rRNA from 1 species